UCUCGAUUGGUCUAGUGGUCAGGAUACCUGCUUGUCAUCGUUGUUUGCCAAUCGAGCAAGCGCGCAGGUGGCCGGGGUUCGAUUCCCCGAUCGAGAG